GUUGUACUCCCUCCAUCUGGAAAUACUUGUCCUCAAAAUGGUUGUAUCUAGACUUAUUUUAGUUAUAGGCACAUCCAUUUUAUCCAUUUCGAGGACAAGUAUUUCCGGACGGAGGGAGUACUAG
rfam:Triticum aestivum genome assembly, contig: Triticum_aestivum_CS42_TGACv1_scaffold_030284_1BL